rnacentral:rRNA from 1 species
UACGAGGGGUCCUAGCGUUGUUCGGAAUCAUUGGGCGUAAAGAGUAUGUAGGCGGCUAUAUAAGUCAGGUGUGAAAGCCCCGGGCUCAACCCGGGAAGUGCAUUUGAUACUGUAUAGCUUGAGUAUGGGAGAGGGUAGUGGAAUUCCUGGUGUAGUGGUGAAAUACGUAGAUAUCAGGAGGAACACCGGUGGCGAAGGCGGCUACCUGGCCCUAUACUGACGCUGAGAUACGAAAGCGUGGGGAGCAAACAGG